UCUCGAUUGGUCUAGUGGUAAGGAUACCUGCUUGUCAUUGAUAUUCAACGACUUAAUAUUCACGAUAGUGAAGCUUAGUGGUUAUGAAAACAAGCCGCAGGUGGCCGGGGUUCGAUUCCCCGAUCGAGAG